rnacentral:rRNA from 1 species
GACGAACGCUGGCGGCGUGCCUAAUACAUGCAAGUAGAACGCUGAAGGAGGAGCUUGCUUCUCUGGAUGAGUUGCGAACGGGUGAGUAACGCGUAGGUAACCUGCCUGGUAGCGGGGGAUAACUAUUGGAAACGAUAGCUAAUACCGCAUAAUAGUAGAUGUUGCAUGACAUUUGCUUAAAAGGUGCAAUUGCAUCACUACCAGAUGGACCUGCGUUGUAUUAGCUAGUUGGUGGGGUAACGGCUCACCAAGGCGACGAUACAUAGCCGACCUGAGGGGGGGGUCGGCCACACUGGGACUGAGACCCGGCCCAGACUCCUACGGGGGGCAGCAGUAGGGGAUCUUCGGCAAUGGGCGGAAGUCUGACCGAGCAACGCCGCGGGAGUGCAGAAGGUUUUCGGAUCGUAAAGCUCUGUUGUAAGGGAAGAACGAGUGUGAGAGUGGAAAGUUCACACUGUGACGGUAUCUUACCAGAAAGGGACGGCUAACUACGUG